GAUGAACGCUAGCGGCAGGCCUAAUACAUGCAAGUCGAACGGUGUCUUCGGACAUAGUGGCGCACGGGUGCGUAACACGUAUGCAACCUGCCUUACAUUGGGGGAUAGCCUUUCGAAAGGGAGAUUAAUACCGCAUAAGACAGUAGCUGGGCAUCCAGCAGCUGUUAAAGAUUUAUCGAUGUAAGCUGGGCAUGCGUCCAAUUAGCUAGUUGGUGAGGUAACGGCUCACCAAGGCAAUGAUUGGUAGGGGAACUGAGAGGUCAAUCCCCCACACUGGCACUGAGAUACGGGCCGGACUCCUACGGGAGGCAGCAGUAGGGAAUAUUGGGCAAUGGACGCAAGUCUGACCCAGCCAUGCCGCGUGCAGGAUGAAGGCGUUAUGCGUUGUAAACUGCUUUUAUACAGGAAGAAACGACUCUUGCGAGAGGCAUUGACGGUACUGUAUGAAUAAGCACCGGCUAACUCCGUGCCAGCCGCCGCCGUAA
rnacentral:rRNA from 1 species